rnacentral:tRNA from 1 species
GGGAGCGGAGGGGUCCCGGUGGGUCCCCCGGUCUUCAAAACCGGUGGCGCCACGCCCCGCGUGACGCGGUGGGUUCGACUCCCAUGCGCUCCCGCCA